rnacentral:tRNA from 1 species
CCACCGGUCCGGCCCCUCGGAGCAGCCUCCGAGGGGCCGUUUCCUUGCCCUAUUCCCCUUCCGCCGCCGUCUCGU